AGAGUUUGAUCCUGGCUCAGGACAAACGCUGGCGGCGUACCUAAGACAUGCAAGUCGAACGGGUGCUCUGUCUUCGGAUGGAACAUUAGUGGCGAACGGGUGAGUAACACGUAGGAACCUGUCGUUGAGUGGGGGAUAACGCUGGGAAACCGGCGCUAAUACCGCAUGAAGUGCGAGAGCAAGAAAGCAGCAAUGCGCUCGAUGAGGGGCCUGCGGCCGAUUAGCUAGUUGGUGGGGUAAAGGCCUACCAAGGCGACGACCGGUAGCUGGUCUGAGAGGAUGGUCAGCCACACUGGGACUGAGACACGGCCCAGACUCCUACGGGAGGCAGCAGUUAGGAAAUUUUCCCAAUGGGCGCAAGCCUGAGGGAGUAACGCCGCGUGCAGGAUGACGGCUUUCGGGUUGUAAACUGCUUUUCUGUGGGACGAGUAGAAGACGGUACCGCAGGAAUAAGCCUCGGCUAACUACGUGCCAGCAGCCGCGGUAAUACGUAGGAGGCGAGCGUUGUCCGGAGUUACUGGGCGUAAAGGGCACGCAGGCGGUUGUGUCAGUUUGCGGGGACAGUGGGCGGCUUAACUGCCCAAGGGUCGCAAAGACGGCACGACUGGAGAGCGAGAGAGGGACCUGGAACUCCGGGUGGAGCGGUGAAAUGCGUAGAGAUCCGGAAGAACACCACUGGCGAAGGCAAGGUCCUGGCUCGUAUCUGACGCUGAGGUGCGAAAGCUAGGGGAGCGAACGGGAUUAGAUACCCCGGUAGUCCUAGCCGUAAACGAUGACCACUAGAUGUGGGAGGUAUCGACCCCUUCCGUGUCGCAGUUAACACGUUAAGUGGUCCGCCUGGGGAGUACGGUCGCAAGAUUAAAACUCAAAGGAAUUGACGG
rnacentral:rRNA from 1 species